CUCCCACCUGUCUGAUUUGUCUUCUCUCCCAAGGCACAGCGGUGUUUCAAAGAGCCGUUCCCAAGAAGGAGAUGAUGCAACAAUCUAAACAACGGUCAGGUCAGGAACAGGAAGCAGGCUCUAACAACAGGGGGGCCAGGAGGAGGAGGAUGUAUGAGCAGCUGCCAGAGGUGCAGAGGAGGAGAGAGGAGGAGAAGAGGAGAGAGGAGUACCGCUCUUACAGACUCAACGCUCAGCUCUACAACAAGAGAAUCACCAACAGAGUCCUGGGCAGACAGACACCCUGGCAGUGAGCGCCUAGGAGGACUUUUACACUUGAUUCCGUGUACGUGUGCUGUGGAAUAAAAUACAAUGUAGAUCAAUUGUUUACAUUUUUUUUUUACGUUUUAUUCCGAUCUGCUGCAAGCUUCCAUUUUGUUCACCUUUUUAAACACAUUAUGAAGUGAAAAGUAAAUAAUAUGUCUGUUUCUAAAGAGACAGGGUCAUAAUUGGUGUGUAAUUUAAAUACUUAUUAUUAUAGUUUUUUUUAUGGGGAAAAUAUAAAUAAACAUGCUUUCUACACUC